UACGUCAUAGCCAUUCAUUUUAGUUCCUAAAUCAGGUAGCUAAAGGGUUUUAGUUGUCUGCGUUUAUCUUUGUAAAUUUUAUUUGCACUGUAUAUUAUUAUGUUGGUGACCUCGUCUUUUAAACUUGCUGGUGUUGUAGCAUACGGCCUGCAUUAAUAAGUAACGUUGGUUUAUAUAAAAUAUUCCAAAUAUUCCUCGCACUAAAAAAGCUCGCAGCUGUUUUUGGAAAGUUGUCUUUAAUAUCUCAUUGGCUGGCGCAGCUGUUUGUCAUUCACUGUCGAGCGUCAUACCACGCAUGCUCACUGCGUACCAUUCUUCACCUACACAGGUGCACGCGAAUGUACAAACGUGAGCGUGACGGAAAGGGCUUUGUUUGGCAUUAAAAUUUAAAGUACAUCUAAUGAAAGCUGGAGACAGCUGAAGAAAACGCAGCCCGGUCGGGUUUGCGUUUGUUUACAGGAGAACGUCUACAAUCAAGACUACAAUCAGGACAAGACUACAGUCAUUAAGCAGUCAUUCUUAAGUACACAGAUGGAGCCGGAGCCAGCCAAUCCCAGCAGUCGUCCAGCGAUGGUGUCCGGCGAUGGUGUCCGGCGAUGGUGUCCGGCGAUGGUGUACGGCGAUGGCAGAUGAUGGUGGACGACGGCGAUGACGAAGCUGGCAUGAUGAGCACCACACUCUCAGACCACAGCCACACUAAACAAGCACACCCACAAAAGAGGCUGCAGCCUGGGUACCAUGACUGCAUGUGAAAACCUGGCAGUGUGGGGGAUAAGGAAGCAAUGAACAGGGGGGAAGUAGCGGGUGGCAUGGAGAUAAUCCACAAAGGCUAGGAAGCUGAUGUUAAUUGACUAAACCAACUGCGAAACUAAGAAAAUCAGCAAGAACGAGAUUACAACCCUGUAGGGCGACGUUGAUUUCUGACUUUUUUUUGUCAUCUGAGAAGAGUUUGAUUCCUUUUUUUGUGCUGUCAUUGGAUCUGGCAGUUUUUCCUCUUCUGGAAGAUUUUCUCAUGACUCAGUUGGAUGAAGGCAACUGGGUACAGGGUGGAAUGGAUAAGAGAGAGAGAAAGUGUGUGGGAGAGAGAGGCUGUAUCUCAUGGCAUGUGUGAGUGGACUACACUAACUGACUACAAGGAUGCCAUCAGUCAGCCUGCCACAGCCAAGUCCACGACAGAGCCUGUGGUCUGCUCACAGGACGACUGGGACCACAUGCAUCCUUUUAUGCAAAAUAAAUGGCUUACUAAAUUUUCUCGGCAGGAUUGUUUCCUACAAUUAUUGUAUUACAAAUUAUUUAUGAUAAUUGGCCUGUUAUGCAUCAUCGAUGUGACGCUAACGGCUGAAAGACCCGGUUGUAUUUGGUGUAAAGAGAUAAGGCACGGGACGUCGCUGGAAGAACUAAUUGCUGCAAUCAAGAACAUAUCGGAAAAAGGGAAACACGAAUGGAAAUCUUCCUCAUCAGCGUCUGUCGUUUUUACAGAAAUUCCAAAAAUUAUAUUUUAGUCAUGAUUUUGUUUUCCGUCUGUUCAGGUUUUCCACUUUCCCGUAAAUACUUGGACAAAUCUGAGUUUGUUGUUGUAGAACUGCAACUGAACUUGAAUGUAGCACGGGCAGUUACCAUGUGUGGACUUUACAGGAAAAUGGACUCUGUGUGUGUUAAAUAUCUUAAUAGCAGCACAACUGUGUGUGUGUGUAGGUGUGUGUGUGGGCUAAUGGGUUUAAAAGAAGCCAAAAACGACAAAGGAAAAGUGCUUUAUGUAAGUCAGCAUGACGUGUCUCUUUUUUCCCCUCCCAUGCAUGGAGACAUGCUAAUGUAAAACUACGGGUCACCGUUUCUCUCGCCGUAAGAGGAUGUUGGCGACGAGAAACAAUGACUGUCUUUGGAUUCUUUUGCCGAUGUAAUUUUACCUCAUUGCUCUGGUUUCUUCUCUCGUGCCUGCGCUGCAUUGCUAAUUCCAUGGCGGACCUUUCUUAAUUACAAAGUCAAGAUCAUUAUCCACCACAAUUUCAACGUCCUUAAGGUUUCCAAUUUGCAUUUUUAUUCUCGUUGUCCAUUUAUUAGACGAUGCUGCGUGAUAGCGAGAUUCGUUUUCUGUAUGUGCCGAAUUCAUGUGAGCAAUUAUUUUCAUAAAUGAGCUCUCGGCUGGCAGCUUUUCACACUGCACAGACCUUUUCAUUAUCUCUAAUUAAUCUCUCAUUUAGAUGUAGAAUAUUCACAGUCCUUAUUAUGCGUUAGAAAUUUCACAAUCAAGUUGCAGUGGUUUUACAUGGCUACGAUGGUGUACCCAUAGAUAUUACCUACUGUAUGGACAUUCAGUCAACGUCGCUCAUCGGUCCUGUUAGUGUAAUUAUACAAUAAGUGCUUUCAUACUUACAAUUAUGUGAUGAAUUAAUAGGAAUACUACCUAGUCGAAUGAUUACAAAAUUGGGUAUUAAUAUGAAAAAUUGUCAAGUAGAAUGGAAAAGAAGGGCAAAAAAUAUAUGUUGAACGAAAAAUAGACCGAGACGUAUACUGUAUGUUAAAGGUUGUUUAAUGAACUCGUUCAUUGACACAAAAUAAGAUGAAGACGUACUGGUUGAUUGCAAAAGGGUUUUUAAAUUCCAAAACAAAUCAACAAAGUGUGUUGUCUUCUCUUUCAUUUUCCAUACCUUUUAUAGUGGCCAAAAAAACCCCACAUUUUGACUUUUGUGUAAUUUGGUUUGAAGUACUUUUGCGACAGCCACUGCUGUGUUUUUGUAAACAAAAAGAAACACCUAACAGACUUUCAAAAUUAAAUAAAUGAAAGAUGACAGUAAGGAGGAAAAAAAACACGUUAAUUUGUAAUUUUCUGUGUUACAAAGUGACACCUUUUAUACACUUGACCAAAAAAAGAAUGACAAAGAAGGGAAAUCAAAAAAACAAGUACAUCAGUAUAAAAGUAACACAAACCACUUAUUCGUAUUUGUUGGACAGAAUGUACGCUCACUCAAGUGGAAAAGCCCAGUUUAAAAGGCACCACAGCCAGUCAGUGGAAUAGCUGGUAAAUAAAAGAGAACAGUACUGACAUGAAUACUUCAACUGUUCUUACAUGUGAAAAUGUCUCUGAAUACAUCACAAUAACAGCCCCAUAAUGAGUAUUCAGGCCGUUUUAAAUGUACACUGAGACUAUUAGCCAUAUUUCUCGUCUUCAGGGCUAAAGGUGAUGGACUUUAAAACAUCAGCUGACUGGGUGAUGUUCUCAAUAAAAGAGUAACAUGACACAAGUCACAAGUUAAGACACAUCUCAUCACACAU